rnacentral:rRNA from 1 species
AACGAACGCUGGCGGCAUGCCUAACACAUGCAAGUCGAACGCGUGUAGCAAUACACGAGUGGCGAACGGGUGAGUAACGCGUGGGAACCUGCCUAGUGGUAGGGAAUAACCGCGGGAAACUGCGGCUAAUACCCUAUGAGCCCUACGGGGGAAAGAUUUAUCGCCAUUAGAGGGGCCCGCGUCGGAUUAGCUUGUUGGUGAGGUAACGGCUCACCAAGGCAACGAUCCGUAGCUGGUCUGAGAGGAUGAUCAGCCACACUGGGACUGAGAUACGGCCCAGACUCCUACGGGAGGCAGCAGUGGGGAAUAUUGGACAAUGGGGGCAACCCUGAUCCAGCAAUGCCGCGUGAGUGAAGAAGGCCUUAGGGUUGUAAAGCUCUUUCGGCGGGGACGAUGAUGACGGUACCCGCAGAAGAAGCCCCGGCUAACUUCGUGCCAGCCGCCGCAGUAAGAC